GCACUGUAAGCCAAAUGCUAGAGCAUGAGACUCUUAAUCUCAUGGUUGUGGGUUCGAUCCCCACAUUGGGCA